CGAACGCUGGCGGCGUGCCUAACACAUGCAAGUCAAGGGGAAAGUCCUGCUUCGGCGGGGUGAGUAUACUGGCGGACGGGUGAGUAACGCGUAGGCAACCUGCCCUGGAGAGAGGGAUAACCCAGCGAAAGUUGGACUAAUACCUCAUGAAGCUAAUUAAUCGCAUGAUUAACUAGCCAAAGGUUGCAUUUCGGUGCAAGUACUCUGGGAUGGGCCUGCGUUCCAUUAGUUAGUUGGUGAGGUAACGGCUCACCAAGGCAUCGAUGGAUAGCUGGUUUGAGAGAGUGAUCAGCCACACUGGGACUGAGAUACGGCCCAGACUCCUACGGGAGGCAGCAGUGAGGAAUAUUGCGCAAUGGAGGAAACUCUGACGCAGCAACGCCGCGUGGGGGAUGAAGUUCUAUGGAGCGUAAACCCCUGUAAGUGGGGACGAACUUUAGAUAGUCGAACAGGCUAUUUAAUUGACGGUACCCGCAGAGUAAGCUCCGGCUAACUCC
rnacentral:rRNA from 1 species